AGAGUCCGCUGAGUAGUCGCUUGGCUUUUAAGCUAAGAGGAAAGUCCGGGCAGCAUAGAACACGACAGUUGCUAACGGCAACCAGGGGUAACCCUAGGGAAAGUGCCACAGAAACUUAGACUACCUGCCGCUUGCGGUGGGAAAAGGUGAAAAGAGUAGGGUAAGAGCCUACAGCUGAGCAUGGCGACGUGCUUAGGGGGUAAACCCUGUCGGCUGCAAGGAGAUUCACAUAUACGGUUGUUCGCCCGUGAAUCGAUUACCGCUUGAUCGUGCUGGCAACAGUACGGCUAGAUAGAUGACUACAUAAACAGAACUCGGCUUAUAGGCAGACUCGUUAC
rnacentral:RNase_P_RNA from 1 species